rnacentral:lncRNA from 1 species
GAUGAUAAUGAUUCACCCCCAGGUGCAACUGAGAUUAUGAGGUAAAGUAUUUUCCUAUGUUCAAGUCAUUCUAAACUAUUAGAGGUACUAAAGUAUUUUCCCAUGUAUUCAGUUUUCUAACUUUUUGUCGUACAGUAACAGGGACGCUGAACCUGGUCUUGAAUAGCCUGAUGGAGUUUAUUAGAGGUAAGAAACAAGCUUUUAAGGAUUUCACUGCAGGAACCUGGUCUUGUAUUCAGUUGGUUUCAGUUAAAUUUGUCACUUCUCAGUUCAUUUUUGGUAGCAAAAACUAGCUGGGCAGUGUAUGUAUAUUAUAAACCUGUAAACCAUUCCCUUUGAGUUUAUGUAAACAAAAAUGAACUGAAAAAAUGAACUGUUAUAAUAGCUGGGCAGUGUUUUCUGUAAACUGUAAUGGUACUCUUUGUUUUUCCUAAUUUAUGUUCUACUUUUAAGGAUUUCCUUGUCAAGUGCACAUACAGCUUAUGAUAUCCUUCUUGUAAACUGCCCACUAAACUAUGGAGUGGAUUCACUUUAUUGCAGUUUAUUCAUUUGUGCAAGUCAUUCACAUUAUUGCAGUUUCAGUUUCUAUAAAUUUACUUUAUAAUGAAGUUAGAAUGCAGUUUCAGUUUCAGUCAUUCACAUUAUUGCAGUUUCAUUCACAUUAUAAUGGAGUUUCAGCUUCUUUGUAAUCUGUGAUCUAUUAUUUGUUCACAAUCUUUGUAAUCUGUCAUUCACAUUAUUUGUUCUUCUGUUAUUCAGGUCAUGGAACAUAAAGGUAUGGUGAAUUAAGCAAAUUUCUCUCCAAUGAAGCUGCUGCGGUAAUGAAGCUGCUGCCAGUCUUAUAGAAGCAGGCAUUACUAUAUGGGAAGCUGCUGUUUUGUGUUCCUUGGUUUUCCAUCUUAAUUUGCAUUUAUGUUUUCGUGAGAUUGCCCUGUUUAGUAUACUUCUAGAUCCUAGGAGCUAAAUAUAUAUAGAGAGAGAGUAAGUGGCAAAAUUCCAAUUGAGUAAGUGGCAAAAUUCUGCACAAUCUUGUAUUUGGCUUAUGUAUUGAGUAAGCGGCAAAAUUCCAGGCAAAUAAGAAGACAAAAGAUUGCAAU